rnacentral:rRNA from 1 species
GAUCCUGGCUCAGGACGAACGCUGGCGGCGCGCCUAACACAUGCAAGUCGAACGGAGCUGAGAGGAGCUUGCCUUUCUUAGCUUAGUGGCGAACGGGUGAGUAACGCGUGAGUAACCUGCCCUGGAGUGGGGGACAACAGUUGGAAACGACUGCUAAUACCGCAUAAGCCCACGGUACCGCAUGGCACUGAGGGAAAAGGAUUUAUUCGCUUCAGGAUGGACUCGCGUCCAGUUAGCUAGUUGG